UACGUAGGUGGCAAGCGUUAUCCGGAAUUAUUGGGCGUAAAGCGCGCGCAGGUGGUUUCUUAAGUCUGAUGUGAAAGCCCACGGCUCAACCGUGGAGGGUCAUUGGAAACUGGGAGACUUGAGUGCAGAAGAGGAAAGUGGAAUUCCAUGUGUAGCGGUGAAAUGCGUAGAGAUAUGGAGGAACACCAGUGGCGAAGGCGACUUUCUGGUCUGUAACUGACGCUGAGGCGCGAAAGCGUGGGGAGCAAACAGG
rnacentral:rRNA from 2 species